GUUAUAUGGUCAAGUGAAGAAGCGCAUACGGUGGAUGCCUUGGCAGUCAGAGGCGAUGAAAGACGUGGUAGCCUGCGAAAAGCUUCGGGGAGUCGGCAAACAGACUUUGAUCCGGAGAUGUCUGAAUGGGGGAACCCAGCCAUCAUAAGAUGGUUAUCUUGUACUGAAUACAUAGGUGCAAGAGGCGAACCAGGGGAACUGAAACAUCUAAGUACCCUGAGGAAAAGAAAUCAACCGAGAUUCCCUUAGUAGUGGCGAGCGAACGGGGACUAGCCCUUAAGUGGCUUUGAGAUUAGCGGAACGCUCUGGAAAGUGCGGCCAUAGUGGGUGAUAGCCCUGUACGCGAAAAUCUCUUAGUCAUGAAAUCGAGUAGGACGGAGCACGAGAAACUUUGUCUGAAUAUGGGGGGACCAUCCUUCAAGGCUAAAUACUACUGACUGACCGAUAGUGAACUAGUACCGUGAGGGAAAGGCGAAAAGAACCCCGGAGAGGGGGGUGAA
rnacentral:rRNA from 1 species